UACGUAGGUGGCAAGCGUUAUCCGGAUUUAUUGGGUGUAAAGGGUGCGUAGACGGGUAUAUAAGUUAGUUGUGAAAUCCCUCGGCUCAACUGAGGAACUGCAACUAAAACUGUAAAUCUUGAGUGCGGGAGAGGAAAGUGGAAUUCCUAGUGUAGCGGUGAAAUGCGUAGAUAUUAGGAGGAACACCAGUGGCGAAGGCGACUUUCUGGACCGUAACUGACGUUGAGGCACGAAAGUGUGGGGAGCAAACAGG
rnacentral:rRNA from 1 species